CAUGUAGUUGGAUUUCUGAUAAAUGGUGGCUUGAUUAAAGACAAUUAAAGUUUACAGAGGGCGCUAUACACUAACGAAUUUACUUACGAACGCAACUAAUCAUUAUUUACUGUUAAAAGUAAUAAAUGUGGAGUCGUAGUUUCAGACGAAUUUAAAGGGCUUAUUCAAGUUAUUGUCUAAAAUGUCUUCAGUAAAAUAUCUUUAAUCUGGUUGAAAAAUGUGGACAGCACUGAAUAAAGAAUUAACAUUCUUAAAAUUGGUAAGAAUU